rnacentral:tRNA from 1 species
GCAGAAGUGGUGGAAUUGGUAGACACGCUAUCUUGAGGGGGUAGUGGGCAUCGCUCAUGGGGGUUCGAGUCCCCCUUUCUGCACCA